GACGAACGCUGGCGGCGUGCCUAAUACAUGCAAGUUGAGCGAUGAAGAUUGGUGCUUGCACCAAUUUGAAGAGCAGCGAACGGGUGAGUAACGCGUGGGGAAUCUGCCUUUGAGCGGGGGACAACAUUUGGAAACGAAUGCUAAUACCGCAUAACAACUUUAAACAUAAGUUUUAAGUUUGAAAGAUGCAAUUGCAUCACUCAAGGAUGAUCCCGCGUUGUAUUAGCUAGUUGGUGAGGUAAAGGCUCACCAAGGCGAUGAUACAUAGCCGACCUGAGAGGGUGAUCGGCCACAGUGGGACUGAGACACGGCCCAAACUCCUACGGGAGGCAGCAGUAGGGAAUCUUCGGCAAUGGACGAAAGUCUGACCGAGCAACGCCGCGUGAGUGAAGAAGGUUUUCGGAUCGUAAAACUCUGUUGGUAGAGAAGAACGUUGGUGAGAGUGGAAAGCUCAUCAAGUGACGGUAACUACCCAGAAAGGGACGGCUAACUACGUG
rnacentral:rRNA from 1 species